GCAGUCGACGAUGAAGCCCUUCGGGGUGGAUUAGUGGCGAACGGGUGAGUAACACGUGGGCAAUCUGCCCUGCACUCUGGGACAAGCCCUGGAAACGGGGUCUAAUACCGGAUACUGAUCGCCUUGGGCAUCCUUGGUGAUCGAAAGCUCCGGCGGUGCAGGAUGAGCCCGCGGCCUAUCAGCUUGUUGGUGAGGUAAUGGCUCACCAAGGCGACGACGGGUAGCCGGCCUGAGAGGGCGACCGGCCACACUGGGACUGAGACACGGCCCAGACUCCUACGGGAGGCAGCAGUGGGGAAUAUUGCACAAUGGGCGAAAGCCUGAUGCAGCGACGCCGCGUGAGGGAUGACGGCCUUCGGGUUGUAAACCUCUUUCAGCAGGGAAGAAGCGAAAGUGACGGUACCUGCAGAAGAAGCGCCGGCUAACUACGUGCCAGCAGCCGCGGUAAUACGUAGGGCGCGAGCGUUGUCCGGAAUUAUUGGGCGUAAAGAGCUCGUAGGCGGCUUGUCGCGUCGGUUGUGAAAGCCCGGGGCUUAACCCCGGGUCUGCAGUCGAUACGGGCAGGCUAGAGUUCGGUAGGGGAGAUCGGAAUUCCUGGUGUAGCGGUGAAAUGCGCAGAUAUCAGGAGGAACACCGGUGGCGAAGGCGGAUCUCUGGGCCGAUACUGACGCUGAGGAGCGAAAGCGUGGGGAGCGAACAGGAUUAGAUACCCUGGUAGU
rnacentral:rRNA from 1 species